GUUUUCUCUUACAGAAUCUUCUCCAUGUGAAAGAGGCUAACACACCAAAUCAUUUUGGUGGAAUUACCUAUCUGGAAUUUGAAAAGCUGACAUAUGUUCCUAUACAGACGAAGUUGAUCAACUUUAAUUUGCUCACGAAUACGGAGAUUAAUUGGCUGAAUAACUAUCACACUGACGUUUGGGAGAAGGUCUCACCCUUGCUCGACGGUUCAGCACGUCAGUGGCUUUGGAACAAUACGAGGCCAGUUGUAAAACCUUGAAUUUUUACUAGUAAUGUUAUAAGUGUCUUUAAUUUUGCAUAUUUAUACAAAUUGUUGGAACUUUUUUUUUUCAUUCAGGGUUACAUUUAUUGCUGAAAUUAUAGUAUCAAAUAUGUGUAUUAUUCCUGUAAAAAUGAUGUAAAAUUUAUUCCCUUUUUAUGAAUACAUAGUUAGUU